rnacentral:rRNA from 1 species
UACGUAGGGUGCAAGCGUUAUCCGGAUUCACUGGGUUUAAAGGGUGCGUAGGUGGGCAGGUAAGUCAGUGGUGAAAUCUCCGGGCUUAACCCGGAAACUGCCAUUGAUACUAUCAGUCUUGAAUACCGUGGAGGUAAGCGGAAUAUGUCAUGUAGCGGUGAAAUGCUUAGAUAUGACAUAGAACACCAAUUGCGAAGGCAGCUCGCUACACGAAUAUUGACUCUGAGGC